AGACACAGGUAAGAGUGAGGCUCGGGUGGAGACACGUGUCGGAUCAGGGUUUAGGUAGAGACACAGGUGAAGGAGCGGUUCAGGUGGAGACACAGGUAAGAGUGAGGCUCAGUACGAGUUGGGCUCAGGUGGAGACACAGGUAAGAAUGAGGCUCGGGUGGAGACACAGGUAAGAGUGAGGCUCAGAAGGAGACACAGGUAAGAGUGAGGCUC